CCUACGGGUGGCAGCAGUGAGGAAUAUUGGUCAAUGGACGAGAGUCUGAACCAGCCAAGUAGCGUGAAGGAUGACUGCCCUAUGGGUUGUAAACUUCUUUUAUAUGGGAAUAAAAUGUUCCACGUGUGGGAUUUUGUAUGUACCAUAUGAAUAAGGAUCGGCUAACUCCGUGCCAGCAGCCGCGGUAAUACGGAGGAUCCGAGCGUUAUCCGGAUUUAUUGGGUUUAAAGGGAGCGUAGGUGGAUUGUUAAGUCAGUUGUGAAAGUUUGCGGCUCAACCGUAAAAUUGCAGUUGAAACUGGCAGUCUUGAGUACAGUAGAGGUGGGCGGAAUUCGUGGUGUAGCGGUGAAAUGCAUAGAUAUCGCGCAGAACCCCGAUUGCGAAGGCAGCGUGCCGUGCCGCCACUGACGCUGAGGCACGAAAGCGCGGGGAUCGAACAGGAUUAGAUACCCCUGUAGUC
rnacentral:rRNA from 1 species